GAAGGAAACCGUGACCGAGGACAAGCUGAUGGCAUCAGAUGAACUGAGUGUCUAAAAUCAGUCCAGUCGAGCCGAAGGGGUCCGCCUGACAGCAGAGGAUGAAGGUCAAGCUGAAGUCUGCUUUGCAUAAUAAUUCACUUUCUGCUCUUUGUGGAGCUGAUUGAGUCGCGGAUCAUCUUAAGCCUCCAGCUCAUGUCCCUGAAGGCCCAACAGUGUUUCCACCAGUUCCCCAUCCUGUCAUGUUCCUGCCUGUGUAUUUUAGUCUUCCCCUGAUCGUUGCUGUGUCACACCCUCUCCGUGCUGCGUUUUCUCCUUGUGUUAAUGGUGGCUUUCGAGUUCUCUGUUCACAGUUUUGUUUUAUAGUUUCCCAGUUUUCUAGUUGGUGCUUAUUGCUUCGAGUUUCUAGUUUUGUUUCCUUGUAUUCAUGUUUGAGUUUUCCCCAGCAAAUAAAGCUGCCGCUUUGAGUUUAACUUUUGCUCUAUGAGAGUCCUGCAUUUGGGUCCUUCCUCCUGCCUGCUGCAGCACACAUCAUCACAG
ensembl:lncRNA